GCCUGGGUGGCUCAGUCGGUUGAGCGUCUGACUUUGGCUCAGGUCAUGAUCUCACAGUUCGUGAGUUUGAGCCUCGCAUCGGGCU
rnacentral:tRNA from 1 species